AUAAAAAAUAUUUUCUAGAGUUAAGUAUCCUAAGAAAGAAAUUUUAAGGAGCUUAACCGGAACUUUUAUAAGUUCAAGGGUAAUACUUGAAAAGGUAUUAUCUCCACGUUUUGGGAAGGAAAAUAAGUUGAUUUAAA
rnacentral:ncRNA from 2 species